AUGUUUGACUUCUCUGACGAUGAAAGAUGGAGUAAGAUUCACAAAACAAGGCCUACUUUCACUAAUUAAUUGUGGAUCUUUGGAUCAUCUGGAGGAGUUGAACCUCAUGGGCACCAGUUGCUUUGAUAUGGGAUGUUAUAUGCAGUUAAAGCAGCGUUGUUCAAAUGUAAGGAUAUAUGGCAACAUAUCCUCAUAACAGUGGUUGACCUGACUCCAUCAAUGAUAACUGCAGGUAGAAAACUGGCUCUAAAACUGGCUUUCAAGUACAUUCCAAGGAGGUGUUUCUCAUGUUCUUGUGUGUUUGUAACCAUAUAAAACUUAACAUUGCUUACCAUGACUGGUCAAAGUUUUUAUGAAUAUGAAUUAAUCAUGCUGUGUAAACAAAACUGCCUACCUGAAUUCUACAAUAUUCAUGUGAUAAUUUCCAGACCAAACGUACAAGAGUCUUCAACACUCAAAGCUCCUAGGGUGGUUUGCACCUCGGACUGUUACCAAGGUUGGAAUGGAGCGUAACAGAGUCGGCAAA